GAGUUUGAUCCUGGCUCAGGAUGAACGCUGGCGGCGUGCUUAACACAUGCAAGUCGAACGAAGCGCCUUAUUUGAUUUUCUUCGGAACUGAAGAUUUGGUGACUGAGUGGCGGACGGGUGAGUAACGCGUGGGUAACCUGCCCUGUACAGGGGGAGUAACAAUCAGAAAUGACUGCUAAUACCGCAUAAGACCACAGCACCGCAUGGUGCAGGGGUAAAAACUACCGGUGGUACAGGAUGGACCCGCGUCUGAUUAGCUGGUUGGUGAGGUAACGGCUCACCAAGGCGACGAUCAGUAGCCGGCUUGAGAGAGUGAACGGCCACAUUGGGACUGAGACACGGCCCAAACUCCUACGGGAGGCAGCAGUGGGGAAGUAUUGCACAAUGGGGGAAACCCGUGAUGCAGCAACGCCGCGUGAGUGAAGAAGUAUUUCGGUAUGUAAAGCCCUAUCAGCAGGGAA
rnacentral:rRNA from 1 species